GGAAGGGUCGCUCAGCGGUAGAGCACCGCGGUGCCUUCUGGCCCGCGGCGGCGUCAGCCUCGUGGCGUUCAAAUCCCACCCCUUCCG
rnacentral:tRNA from 2 species